GCUAGCUUCGAGGGGAGGACAGCAAGUUUUUAAAGGUUAGGUUUUCAGAUAGAAGACAACUAGUUGGAUCUAAUAGAUUUGGAUCAAACUACCUUUUAAUUUCACUUCUGGGGAUUGCUGGUGACUUUGUUAGCAUAGCCAAAACAGUUUACAGACUCUUUUGCAUUAUACAGGUUACCUGUGCUCCAGAGAUGCCCGCUCUCAGAUUAAGAGUGCCCUGUUUAUUCUUCCAGCCCCUGAGCCAAACCCAUAACCACGGAACGGGCAAACAGAGCCGUAAGCGCCUACGUGCCCCUGCUCUUUGCUGUAUCUGGCUCAACUCCUUGAAUACCAUGACUCACUCCACUGGUAGAGGGUACAGAUGAGCAUGGAAGAACAAUCUCUCUCUUGCAAGGAAGUUAAAAUUUCUCAAGUUGAUUACCUUCAACAGCCUCUCAACCUCUUUUAAUAUGGCUGAAAGCCUGAACCUGUUCAUGGCUUAAGAUUCUCACUUGUUCCCUGAUCUAGCAGCAGUAGGAAGUAGGAAAGUGGCCACGUUGACAAAUACUCCAAAAUACUGGUGUCAGUUCAUGUAGGUCACUGACAAAAGUGACUAAAUACAAGUGAGAACAUUGCUGGUCACUUCAGCUGC